GGUUGCUCGCAUCUAUCUCUUACUCCCUGGCAGUGGGGAAUUUCCCUCUCACACCCAUGCAGCUGCAAUGCUGAACUAGUUGGCCAAGGUUUAAGGAAAGUAAUAGACUAGGAUUGUGCUUCUACAAGAAAUGCUGUGAAUGGAAUCUAUCUCAAUAAACAGUAUGCUCCAGUAACCACUGCACAUUUGCAAGAUGAUCUUUAGUGCCUUUUUCUGUUCUGAAUCCAGCUUGAACAUCUGAUAUUUCUCAUGCCAUAUAUGAAAAGAAUGGGAGCUCUCUGGUUGGCAGGCAGAGCUGCCUAUCAAGGUUUUAAGAGCUGCAAAAGGUCUGCAGACAUCUCCUCCAUUGCAUAGGGAAUUGAUAGAUUGGCGCCAGGAUGUCUGGACUCACAGACCAUGGACCAACAGACCAAAAUUCAUGAAAAAGGAAAACAAAGAUUGCAGAAUGGCCCUUGCUACUGCCACAUCCUGAGUUGCAUUGAUAUCAACAGCAUCAGUAGAGGACCACGUUGCUACCUUACAAAUGUGUGUGAUCAAGACACCCCUGAGAAAGGCUGAGGAAGCUGCUUGUGACUUUGUUGAAUGAGCCCUCAAGCCAAAUGGACACUCUACCCCAGUCAGACUGUAUGCUUUUUCAAUGGCUGACACGAUUCACCGUGACACUGUUUGAGAGGAUGCCUUUUACCCUUGUCUGAGCCCCUGAAACAUACAAAAAAAUGGGGACUUGCACAAAA